rnacentral:lncRNA from 1 species
AAUUUCACUCAAACAAAAUGGAAUAAACACCUGUUAAACAUUCACUCACUUUCUGCACGUAGGACGCGCCAUUCAGGGACAACAUUAAAAGUUAUUGCGAAAAUUAAAAACCUCAACAAAGCUGCUAAUAAGACGUCUGAAUAAGCUGGCUCCUUCCCGACCUGCAGCUCACCAGUGCAGCUGCAAGAAAGGCUGUAGGAGUUUAGUCGUGGUGUUAACUCGAAAUACAACGUUAUUGACAGCCGCGUUCGCACGCGUUUGGUCGGAGGUCCACCGAAGUUGUGGGAUCACCGCGGAUAGCAGAUGAAACGUCAACGGAAGUGCGCCAUGGACGUCCGGGAGCUGUUUAAGGAGCGUUUAACUGAACGCCCCUGGCGGCCAGAGCGGGAAACUCACCUGCACAGCUGACUGACUGCAAUGAAAAUCGAGGAGUGCGCGAAAGACCGCAAAUGCUUUGGCUAACGAAGAUCCGUGCCAUUUAUUCGCACCUACGGUAAUAUAUUGAUCAGAUAAGGUUUCAAAUCUGGUUAGCAAACUAGAAAAGAGUCGUGAUUGAGUUGAGCUGAGUCAGUUUACGUGAAAUUCGUGACUGGUGAUAUCCGUAUAAUCCCGAUAGGCGAUUCGUUGAUUAUUCAUGG